CUACGGGUUGCAGCAGUGAGGAAUAUUGGACAAUGGUCGAAAGACUGAUCCAGCCAUGCCGCGUGCAGGAUGAAUGCCCUAUGGGUUGUAAACUGCUUUUAUACGGGAAGAACACCACCUACGUGUAGGUGACUGACGGUACCGUAAGAAUAAGGACCGGCUAACUCCGUGCCAGCAGCCGCGGUAAUACGGAGGGUCCAAGCGUUAUCGGAAUCAUUGGGUUUAAAGGGUCCGUAGGCGGGCUAUUAAGUCAGAGGUGAAAGUUUGCAGCUCAACUGUAAAAUUGCCUUUGAUACUGAUAGUCUUGAAUUGUAGUGAAGUGGUUAUAAUAUGUGGUGUAGCGGUGAUAUGCAUAGAUAUCACAUAGAAUACCGAUUGCGAAGGCAGAUCACUAACUAUAUAUUGACGCUGAGGGACGAAAGCGUGGGGAGCGAACGGGAUUAGAUACCCCCGUAGUC
rnacentral:rRNA from 1 species